CAGCACCUCAAGUGGUCAGGAUGAUUAUUGGGCCUAAAGCAUCCGUAGCCGGCGCUGUAAGUUUUCGGUUAAAUCUGUACGCUCAACGUACAGGCUGCCGGGAAUACUGCAGCGCUAGGGAGUGGGAGAGGUAGACGGUACUCGGUAGGAAGGGGUAAAAUCCUUCGAUCUAUUGAUGACCACCUGUGGCGAAGGCGGUCUACCAGAACACGUCCGACGGUGAGGGAUGAAAGCUGGGGGAGCGAACCGGAUUAGAUACCCGAGUAGUCC
rnacentral:rRNA from 1 species